rnacentral:rRNA from 1 species
GAUGAACGCUGGCGGCGUGCUUAACACAUGCAAGUCGAACGAAGCAUAAGAGUUGCUUGCAACACUUAUGACUUAGUGGCGGACGGGUGAGUAACGCGUGGGUAACCUACCCUGUACAGGGGGAUAACAGUUAGAAAUGACUGCUAAUACCGCAUAAGCACACGCUGUCACAUGACAGAGGGUGAAAAGAUUUAUCGGUACAGGAUGGGCCCGCGUCUGAUUAGCUAGUUGGUGAGGUAAAGGCUUACCAAGGCGACGAUCAGUAGCCGGCUUGAGAGAGUGAACGGCCACAUUGGAACUGAGACACGGUCCAA